CAACACCGUCUUUGAAGCCUGG
rnacentral:miRNA from 1 species